rnacentral:rRNA from 1 species
UACAGAGGGUGCGAGCGUUAAUCGGAAUUACUGGGCUUAAAGGGUGCGUAGGCGGCGCGGAAAGUAGGGUGUGAAAUCCCUCGGCUCAACCGAGGAAUUGCGCCCUAAACUACCGUGCUCGAGGGAGAUAGAGGUGAGCGGAACUUAGGGUGGAGCGGUGAAAUGCGUUGAUAUCCUAAGGAACACCGGUGGCGAAAGCGGCUCACUGGAUCUCUUCUGACGCUGAGGCACGAAAGCUAGGGUAGCGAACGGG